rnacentral:rRNA from 1 species
GAACGCUAGCGGGAGGCCUAACACAUGCAAGCCGAGCGGUAGAGUCUCUUCGGAGACUUGAGAGCGGCGCACGGGUGCGGAACACGUGUGCAACCUGCCUUUAUCUGGGGGAUAGCCUUUCGAAAGGAAGAUUAAUACCCCAUAAUAUAUUGAGUGGCAUCACUUGAUAUUGAAAACUCCGGUGGAUAGAGAUGGGCACGCGCAAGAUUAGAUAGUUGGUGAGGUAACGGCUCACCAAGUCAGCGAUCUUUAGGGGGCCUGAGAGGGUGAUCCCCCACACUGGUACUGAGACACGGACCAGACUCCUACGGGAGGCAGCAGUGAGGAAUAUUGGACAAUGGGUGAGAGCCUGAUCCAGCCAUCCCGCGUGAAGGACGACGGCCCUAUGGGUUGUAAACUUCUUUUGUAUAGGGAUAAACCUAGAUACGUGUAUCUAGCUGAAGGUACUAUACGAAUAAGCACCGGCUAACUCCGUGCCAGCAGCCGCGGUAAUACGGAGGGUGCAAGCGUUAUCCGGAUUUAUUGGGUUUAAAGGGUCCGUAGGCUGAUUUGUAAGUCAGUGGUGAAAUCUCACAGCUUAACUGUGAAACUGCCAUUGAUACUGCAAGUCUUGAGUGUUGUUGAAGUAGCUGGAAUAAGUAGUGUAGCGGUGAAAUGCAUAGAUAUUACUUAGAACACCAAUUGCGAAGGCAGGUUACUAAGCAACAACUGACGCUGAUGGACGAAAGCGUGGGGAGCGAACAGGAUUAGAUACCCUGGUAGUCCACGCCGUAAACGAUGCUAACUCGUUUUUGGGUUUUCGGAUUCAGAGACUAAGCGAAAGUGAUAAGUUAGCCACCUGGGGAGUACGAACGCAAGUUUGAAACUCAAAGGAAUUGACGGGGGCCCGCACAAGCGGUGGAUUAUGUGGUUUAAUUCGAUGAUACGCGAGGAACCUUACCAAGGCUUAAAUGGGAAAUGACAGGUUUAGAAAUAGACUUUUCUUCGGACAUUUUUCAAGGUGCUGCAUGGUUGUCGUCAGCUCGUGCCGUGAGGUGUUAGGUUAAGUCCUGCAACGAGCGCAACCCCUGUCACUAGUUGCCAUCAUUAAGUUAGGGACUCUAGUGAGACUGCCUACGCAAGUAGAGAGGAAGGUGGGGAUGACGUCAAAUCAUCACGGCCCUUACGCCUUGGGCCACACACGUAAUACAAUGGCCGGUACAGAGGGCAGCUACACAGUGAUGUGAUGCAAAUCUCGAAAGCCGGUCUCAGUUCGGAUUGGAGUCUGCAACUCGACUCUAUGAAGCUGGAAUCGCUAGUAAUCGCGCAUCAGCCAUGGCGCGGUGAAUACGUUCCCGGGCCCUGUACACACCGCCCGUCAAGCCAUGGAAGUCUGGGGUACCUG